rnacentral:misc_RNA from 1 species
CUACUCUCAAUUGGUUAUUGUGGAUUUUGUCUCUUUCUGAAUCUUUUUAGAAAAGAUUUUUUCUGAGAUUGAUCUUGGCCUUAGCCUAUGGUCUUCAUCAUCAUCCUUAGUUACUUGAAAAUAGCUGUUAGAAGAAGCAUAUUCAAACUGACUUUCUUGUGUUGGUUAUGGGGUUGUGCAGUUGAUGUCUUCCUCAGAAGCUUCAUCUUCAUCUUCAUCAACUAAACCUCUCCUAGGCUGUCUCUUUUUUCCCCUGCCAGAAUUUUUCCCUUUGUUAGCAGGUUGUUUCCCUUGCUUCUUAGUAGGUUGUUUCCCCUGCUUUGCCUUUUUACAUCCUUUUGCAUUGUGAUUUUGUUCUCACAAUUACUACAUGUCAUCACUUUUCCUUUUCUUGUUAGCUUCCAUACUCCUUGCCUCUUAACAACUUCAUUCUUUUCUCUUUCCCUCAUUCGCUUAGGUUUACCAACAAGCUUGACCAAUUCUGG